CUACGCACAACCAAGAUGGUAAAGCAAAGGACUGAAAAUCCUCGUGUCACCAGUUC
rnacentral:tRNA from 1 species